UACGUAGGGUCCGAGCGUUGUCCGGAAUUAUUGGGCGUAAAGAGCUCGUAGGUGGUUUGUCGCGUUGUUCGUGAAAACUCACAGCUCAACUGUGGGCGUGCGGGCGAUACGGGCAGACUUGAGUACUGCAGGGGAGACUGGAAUUCCUGGUGUAGCGGUGAAAUGCGCAGAUAUCAGGAGGAACACCGGUGGCGAAGGCGGGUCUCUGGGCCGAAACUGACGCUGAGGAGCGAAAGCGUGGGGAGCAAACAGG
rnacentral:rRNA from 1 species